rnacentral:rRNA from 1 species
AGAACGCAGCGAAAUGCGAUACGUAAUGUGAAUUGCAAAUUCAGUGAAUCAUCGAGUCUUUGAACGCACAUUGCGCCCCCUGGUAUUCCGGGGGGCAUGCCUGUCCGAGCGUCAUUGCUGCCCUCAAGCCCGGCUUGUGUGUUGGGCCCCGUCCUCCGAUUCCGGGGGACGGGCCCGAAAGGCAGCGGCGGCACCGCGUCCGGUCCUCGAGCGUAUGGGGCUUUGUCACCCGCUCUGUAGGCCCGGCCGGCGCUUGCCGAUCAACCCAAAUUUUUAUCCAGGUUGACCUCGGAUCAGGUAGGGAUACCCGCUGAACUUAAGCAUAUCAAUAA